UCAUUACAAUGAUGAUGAUGA
ensembl:piRNA 21ur-13405 ncRNA